GGAACAAAAAUGAGCCACAACCACCAAGAACUGCAGUGGCGGUCGAGUUCCGGCGAGGUUGUCGGAUUUCGCCCAUUUUUGUUCCGAGCUUCACUCUUCUCUAAGACGCAUUGAGGGAAUUGUACAUAUCUAAGGGAAAAAAAAAUGAAAGGAACUUGUACUCUCGUAGCUUCCGUGCUCGCCGCGUCCACCGUGGCUUUAUCCUCCUCCUCGGCCGCAGAUCGCGACGUCGCCUUUUAUCCUUCCUCCAAUGAGGUAUUUGGUUCGAGCCUUUGUUUUUUCUUAUAAAUUUAAUCAUAUUCAGUGGACUUGUGUUUCAUUAAAAUUUUUGGUUGAAUGAAAGUUAUGGUUUUUGUUUAUUUUGUUUCCUUCGCUGAUAAAAAAGCCAUGGCGUUGUUCAAAAUAUAAAAGAAAUGCUUUCGUUUAAAAAAGGAGUCGUUGGAUCUAAACCUUGUUUUCUGGUUGUGCUUUGGCGUCGAAUAUUGGGGAAAACUUACUCUCGCAUUCACGUUCAGAAUUUUAUUUUUUAUGUUAAUUUCUCUUGCCUGUCCUCUCUAAAUCCGUGAUUCAUUUUGUUUAACUUCUCAGAAAUUGUGACUCUUAGCGUUGAUUCUCUUUAUAGAAAAAAGAAAAAAAAAAAAGAGACUUAUCAGAACAGAGUUGAUAAAAUGCAUCAUAAGAUUUAAUUUUAUCGUCUUUGAUUAGGGCUCGACUUAUACAAUGGGGAAACGUGGCGCACCAAAUGCUUGUGCAACGUCGGAUAAGGGGAAAUUUGUACCAAGAUUUGAUGGGUUGAGGUUCAUAGAAACUCUGGUCACGGCUCAUAGAUAAGCUUACAAAGCUCAUAAUUUUCUGAUUGUUAUUUGUUCAUGUUGAGGCAAACCCCAUGGGUUUAUAAGAUGUGAUUUAAAGAGAGUUUUGUUUUUUUUUUUUUCCCCUCUCUUAAUUUUGUGUUUUUGGAGAACUUUUGCUACUGAGUUGUGUCAUUUUUGGCCUUUGCAAUUGAUAUUUUGUGUGGUGACCAUCAUCACAAACUCAAACGCGAUGGUCACAGGUUUUGUCGAUGCCCACCUGGAAUUUCUUGGCUUGAUAUCUCGUAAGCUGUUCGCUUAAUUGCUGAACCUAUGGUUAAUCGAAUGUUUCGUUUGAUUGAAAUGUUUCAAUUUUGACAGUUUAGCUAUUCUUGCUAGCUUAGAGCUAGCAUUUGAAAUGAUAUUUUUUUAAAAAAAUAACAACGAAUAAUAAGUUUUUGGAUGCCUUCCUCGAGUUGUAGUUAUGGGGAAGGCAUUAUUUGGUUAUUAUGGAAAAUUAAAAGUAAAUAGGUUUGUUGAGUUUGUUUGAUAAGAUCAAGUAAUGAAAGAAUCGAUUUUUGGAAUUAAUGACAAAUUAUAUAAUAAACUUAGUUGUUAAUAAUGAAAUGAAGGAGGAAAAAAUCACCGGUUGGAAGUAGAAUUAAGUUUCAAUUUUUUAUUCGAUGUGAAAAAUUCAAGUUGGGGAGUAUUUAAUCGUUAAUUGAGAGAGUUGUUUGUUGGGCGAGUGACAUGAUAAAUUAAUUACAUAAACAUAAAAGCCCGUGAAGGACAUAACUCUGUAAUUUUAAAUGAAAGUGUUUAAGUAUAUGCUUUUACACGAGGAAGAAUAUCCCGACUUAACGGCAAGCGGUCAUCUGUUUUUGCCGCUAAUUUUUUAUUUUUUUAUUUUUUAUAAAAAAAAAAUAAGGAGAAUAAAGACUUUUUAAGUGAUAUGUUUUCAAGCCUUUCAGGGAGGAGAAUAUUAGAAUCUUUUUGUUUCAUUCCACUUUCCGUCGGCCGAUCCAUGAAAAGAAAAAGCUGCCUUCAUUUGCACGAGUCACAGAGAAAUUGGGGCCCUUCCACCGAAGCGCCCGUUUUGGAGAAAACAACUCUUUCUUGACCGCACAACUUUGAAGCAGGCUCCUUCUCUCUCCUUUUCAAAAGCUGUAAAGCAGAAAUCAAAAACUGCAAUUGAAUCAGACAAAAACCAAUCCUGAACCACCUUAAAUUAUAAUUUUUAGAAUAAUGUAUAUUUGGCUCUAUAUGAAAUGUUUAGAUUUAAAUUUUAUAACUUCUUUUGUUUUUAUUAUUAUCAUCCAAUUAAAUAUCAUUAAUACUCUAAUUUAUAUAUUUCACUAAUUAUCAAUCAAUCUAAGAUUAUU
rnacentral:misc_RNA from 1 species